rnacentral:rRNA from 1 species
GACGAACGCUGGCGGCGUGCUUAACACAUGCAAGUCGAACGGAAAGGCCCUGCUUUUGUGGGGUGCUCGAGUGGCGAACGGGUGAGUAACACGUGAGUAACCUGCCCUUGGCUUUGGGAUAACUUCAGGAAACUGGGGCUAAUACCGGAUAGGAGCUCCUGCUGCAUGGUGGGGGUUGGAAAGUUUCGGCGGUUGGGGAUGGACUGGCGGCUUAUCAGCUUGUUGGUGGGGUAGUGGCUUACCAAGGCUUUGACGGGUAGCCGGCCUGAGAGGGUGACCGGCCACAUUGGGCCUGAGAUACGGCCCAGACUCCUACGGGAGGCAGCAGUGGAGAGUAUUGCACAAUGGGCGGAAGCCUGAUGCAGCAACGCCGCGUGCGGGAUGACGGGCUUCGGGUUGUAAACCGCUUUCGCCUGUGACGAGGCGAGAGUGACGGUACUGGGUAAAGAAGCACCGGCUAACUACGUG